UUUCCUGCUGUGUGUUCCCCCAGCGAGCAUACGUUUCGCAGAGCAUAACCAGCAAUCCCAAUGCUUGUAUAUUUCAGUCAGCGCAGCGCUCAGCAACCAGGCUAGUGAGCGUUUCCUGCUGUGUGUUCCCCCAGCGCGCAUACGUUUCGCAGAGCACAACCAGCGAUCCCAAUGCUUGUAUAUUUCAGUCAGCGCAGCGCUCAGCAACCAGGCUAGUGAGCGUUUCCUGCUGUGUGUUCCCCCAGCGCGCAUACGUUUCGAAAAGCAUACACAGCGAUCCCAAUGUUCUUAUCCCGGUACGCUACGGGUCCAGAAUUAGAUGUUAAGCUUCCAUAUUAUAAUCAAGGGAGGAAAUACAUGUCUCUAAGCCAAGGCGAGAAGGUCCCAGCGCUCCAAGGUACAGAAUAGGCCUAGUCUCUUUCCCCUAACCAGCCCGUGGGAAGUUGUUUUCUUGGGGUUUAAGGGAGAAGAUUGUAUCCUGUAGUUCAGUAUUGGUGCAUGGUAUGGUUGUGGUUGAGGUGUGGUUGGGUGCGGAAUUUUCUUAGCUUUUUAAUGGUGGUAAGGAGAGUCUGUGUAUGUGAUGGGAAAGCUGUGAAAAUGGCAAAAAUGUGAAGGAAGGUGGGGGUCAAAAGUGGGAAAAAGUAAAAAUUUUGUGAUAUGUUCUCCGAGUUUAUGGUGCUGUAGUUCAGUAAUGGUGCAUGGUAUGGUUAUGGUUGAGGUGUGGUUGGGUGCGGAAUUUUCUUAGCUUUUUAAUGGUGGUAAGGAGAGUCUGUGGAUGUGGAGGGAAAGCUGUGAAAAUGGCAAAAAUGUGAAGGAAGGUGGGGGUCAAAAGUGGGAAAAAGUAAAAAUUUUGUGAUAUGUUCUCCGAGUUUAUGGUGCUGUAGUUCAGUAAUGGUGCAUGGUAUGGUUGUGGUUGAAGUAUGGUUGGAUGCGGAAUUUCCUUGGCUUUUUAAUGGUGCUAAGGAGAGUCCGUGGAUGUGAAGGGAAAGCUGUGAAAAUUGCAAAAAUGUGAAGGAAGGUGGGGGUCGAAAGUGGGAAAAAGUAAAAAUUUUGUGAUAUGUUCUCUGAGUUUAUGGUGCUGUAGUUCAGUAAUGGUGCAUGGUAUGGUUGUGGUUGAAGUAUGGUUGGAUGCGG